UGACGUGAAAUCCCGUUGCAGGUGUUUGU
rnacentral:piRNA from 1 species